CACCGGCGGCUCGAGUGGUGGCCACUUUUAUUGGGUCUAAAGCGUCCGUAGCCGGCUUGGCAAGUCCCCUGGGAAAUCUGGCGGCUUAACCGUCAGGCGUCCAGAGGAUACUGCCAGGCUUGGGACCGGGAGAGGUGAGAGGUACCUCAGGGGUAGGGGUGAAAUCUUGUGAUCCCUGAGGGACCACCAGUGGCGAAGGCGUCUCACUAGAACGGGUCCGACGGUCAGGGACGAAAGCUGGGGGCACGAACGGG
rnacentral:rRNA from 1 species